GUGUUGUGGUGGUGGGAUUUUUUUAUUUUUAAGUUCCAAACAGUUGCAAUGCAAAGUUCCUUUUGUCUGGAAAUCUGGUAGAACAGAAGGAUCUCAAGAAGCACCAGUGAAGCAGAUGGGCAACAGGAUUCAGCCUGUUCUCUCUGGUGGCUUCCACAUUGGGGCCCUUUAGCACUGCUGAGGCAUUGCUUUUCUGCAGCCGGUUUUGAAACCUAAUGAAAGUGGUGAUUCCACCCGGCACUUAAGAUUUUAGCUAUCAGCACUCUUGCCACUCAUGGCGGGAGUGGGCAACCUUAUCAGGGUCCAGCGCUGCAUUAUCUUCAGGGAACAUGGUGGGGGCCCCAUACGUCUGGCUGUGAGUGAGGCCGAAGCAAAAAAAGGUGUCUCUCUCCCCCUUCACUCAUUAUCUAUUAAUUCUUUCUUCCAGUGUUAGAUAUAUAACGUACUAAAUCAGAGUUUCCCAAACCUGGGUCUCCAACUGUUGUUGGAUUAGAAUUCCCUAGCUAUCAGGACCAGUGGUGAGGGAUGAUGGGAAUUGUAGUCCAAAAACAGCUGGAGACCCAAGUUUGGGAAACCCUGUGUUAAAUGGCACAUUGAACCUAGGUUGCAGUUGCCACAACAAAAUGUCUAGGCACUAUUUCCCCUCCCUCAUGGGGAAUAAUAAUAAUAAUAAUAAUAAUAAUAUCAUUUCUGUACUGCUUUAUAUUUUAAUGAAAAAAUCUCAAAGUGGUUUAUAACACAUUAAAGCAAUACAGAACAAAACAAAUUCAAGCUUCAGGGAAAAUAUUUCAGAUCCUUCUCUAAGUGACAUUUUCCUUUCCCCAGAUUUAUUUACCUACUUAAUUCAUAGAGUGGCCCCAUAGCAGAAGUACUCUAGGAAGCCAGAGUGGUGUAGUGGUUAGAGUGUCAGACUAGGAGCUGAGAGAUCAGGACUUAAAUCUCCAUUCAGCCAUGAUGCUCACUGGGUGACCUUGAGCCAGUCACAGCCUCUUAACCUACACACAGAAUUGUUGUGGGGAUUAACUGAGGAUAGGGGUGAACUGUGUGCUCCUUGGAGAAAAAAAGUGGGAUAUAAAUGCAAUAAAUAAGCUCUUCUGCUUACCUGCUUAAGAAAACAGGAGGGUCCAACCAGAUAGAGAUGUUAGUCACCAACUUGGCAUCCAGAGAUCUCCACGUGGUUGCAAUCGAUCCUGCGCCAGUUGCAAAACGUGCCUUGCGCCUGGCUAAUUUCUAACACCACCCUCUUCCCACACAUAUUAUCUCACCCAAACUUCUGUCCCAUCCACCCAGCCAUCUAUUCUUUUCCUUUCUUUCAUGCUGUCUCUCUGGGUUGUGUUUGUGUGCACCAGAGGAGAUGGAGGGCAAGGGACUCUGUGCUGUAGACCAGGGGUAGGCAACCUAAGGCCCAUGGGCCACAAGUGGCCCAUGGGGGUUGUUUAACUGGCCCACGAGCCACCCCUGAACCAAGCCGCUGCUCAGUGAGUCCCCGUGCGCGGCGCUAAACUGGCGUGGCGCGGGGACUCGCUUCCGCUGCAACGGAAACCGUGUCUGCGCAGACGCAGAUGCUGGAAAUCGUGUCUGUGCGGAUGCAGAAGCCGGAAAUAGCUGGCGUGUGUGUUCAGGAGUGCGCGCAAUCCAGCCCAUGGAGGGAUCUACGCUGGAGUGAACCAGCCCAGGCGAGGUAAGCCUUGCCAACCCCUGCUCUAGACCCUUCUAUAAUAUAAGCUCACAAGUUAGUCUCAUUCAGCAAUGGUCCCUUGCAGUGUUGAUUAAAUUUCCUCCUUGCAGCCUCUGCCUCUUUUUCUUAAAUGCAUGUUCAUUGUAGCUGGCAAAUUAGUGAUGAAUUGUCUCCUAAUUAGUCAAGUUCUGUUCCCUGCAGUGGAAUAAUGGUUUCAUUAUUUAUUUUUCUUUUAUAGCAAAAUAGUCCUAAAAGACAGAAAGGGCGGGGGGGGGGGGGAGAGAGAGAUAAAGGAUACCAUUAAUUAAAGUCUCCCCUUUCCUGUGGAGAACAGCAAUUGACUAAUUAAAGGGCAAUUCCUCACUAAUUCCCUGGCUGAGGCUGAACAGGAAGUGAUAAAAAGGGCAGAAGCUGCAAGGAAGAAACUUUAAUUAAAAACACAGUAGCCCCUAAAAGCCCUUAUACCAGGAGCAGGCAGGCUUAGGGCUUGUGGAAUCUACUUUUGAUUGGAACUCCAAAAUCUACCAACCAGAGCUGGGUACAAAAGACAUACAGUUAGAACUGGAGGACGUGAGCACCUUCUGAGCCUAAGAAUUAGCUUUCAGUAGCAGAACUGAACCAAAGUCACGGCCCUUUCACACAAAAGUCUACUCCUGGUUAUCUUUCUUCAUUCAACAGCCUGAUUUAAGCGCAGAAAGUCAUUGUGCUAUUGCUAUUGUUGGAAACAAUUUGGAGUCAGAAACUCUUGCCAGUCUUCUGCAAAUCAGCCUGCGAUCUACCAGGAGACCCCAAUCUGCCUUCUGCCUUCAUCUGUACUAGUAUAGUACAUUGCCUGUCCAACACUGGACAAGCUGGGACUUUAACUGUGUUAUAUUGUAAAAAAUAAACGAAAUCACAAAUCACUUUCUGGGGAAUAAAAAUAUGAAAGGGCGAUACAGAGAAUGUUGGAACACAACUAUUUGUCAGCAAGAUGGAUUAUCCAUAAAAAGCGAAUGAAGAGGGGGAGUCAUUGCAGAGAAGAACCAGCGCGUAAGCAGCCUCUCUUUUCUAUGUGUUUUUGUUUUGGACGAAAGCUGAAUCUGGUUGUCCUCAUAGGCAAGAAAACACCCAAUGUGUCUUUGUACCUGGAGAUGCAGCUUAAUUAAGGUGAUCCAAAAGCCUUUUGUGAUGCUCAAGGAGUUGACUCAUGUGUUCAAACAUCUGGAGAGCAGCGCAAUAUGGAUGCUGAAUCAUCAAUUUUAUAGGCCCUUCAGUGGGAGACAGAGGCAAAUUUGGUGCACUUCUUUCUUCCUUGAGCAAUAUCCAUAUUAGCAAGUCUGUGUCUCAUUCUCUCUCCCACCCCCCAGUCCCCAUUUGGACCUACAAAUGCACAUUUCCUUUCACAGUUGUGACGGUCCAAUUGGCUUGGGCAUUGUUGAGGUGCUCCCUCCCUAUUCAGUAGGCACACCUCUCCCCCUUCCCUCUUACUUUCUCUCUUGAAGGCUGCCAGCCAAGCCUUUAAGCUUGGUACAGGGCUGAGAUGGUUGGUGGUUGGAGAGGAGACAACAUGGCAGUUGUACCCCAUUGAUAUCCAAGGAAAGAGGUGCACCUUGGGAGGGACAUGAGGCGCCCCCAGAUGACCCGUUUAUUGAAUAUACAUCCCAAUUUGCUUGCACAGAGCUUGCACAAAGUUUGUCCAAUGCCUGUUCUUUAAUGACCAUUCCCUCUGAGUUGUUUGUGGGGAGGUUGUACACCUUCCUGUCAAUCGGUUGUUGACCUGCACUUUUUCAUGCGUUUUCCCAUUUCCUCUCCUAACUGUAAAAACCUCAUUUUUUCAAAAAGUAGAUUAGUUGCAACGGAGCGCUUUAAUCCACUUUCAUUGUGCAAACCUAAUGUUCCAGUAUGUGAACAAAUCCCUCCUGCAAAAGAGGGGCCAUCUGUAGGUGUCUAUAGUGUGUGCAUGUGUGUGUGAGAGAGAGAUCCACAAGGUGUCUCUUGCACACCUUCCAACGUCACACAGAUGAAAGCAGGGACAUAACUUGCUACUCCCCUGUUCCUCCUACAAAGGAUCAAUGCCCUCAUCCAAAUUAUAUUUUGCUGAAGGCUCUGCUCCACUAGCUAUAUUGACUUAAUCUGCAAUCGUCUUUUGGGCAAAGAAGAACAUAAUUGUCCUGCAAUAUGCUUUCAGCAGCCUGAAAUAUCCUUCAUUAGCAGCAGUGUUUGAAAUGGUAGGCUACCUCGUUUAUUCUUAACGAUUAUACUCCGCUUUUCAAUCAACUGAUUCUCAAGGUGAUUUACAACAGUUUGUAACAAUACAAGAAUCAAACACACACACACACCAUCCCCCUCACUGAUGGAUGGGGUCAGGGCAUGCUUCCCUUUGGUUCCAUAGUUCUGGCUAUUUGGUGGUUGGAGGCAAUAGUUCUCUCUGGGAAGAAGGGCUGGUGGAUGGGGCCUGGCUGGUCUUUCUUCUGCCACAGUGCUCUUCCUGCAUGGCAGGGAGUGGACCUUCCAGUGGACCUCGUUCCCCUGGCUCUUUAGCACAUGUGCUAGGGACAAGGUGCACCCAUGCUCUUCUAGAACAGGGAUAGACAACCUGUGAGGCACGACCAUUAUAAAAAUAGAUUUUUAAAAAUAACCAUAAAUUAAAACCAUUUUAUCAAAUUGUUGUGGCUAUUUUUUCUUCUCCAAUAAGCCUAAAGUGGUUGGGACAGCAUGAGGAUGGUGAUUUUGUCAUUCCUCAUAAUCUUACACCUCUUGAAACUAGGGACAGGGAACCUUUUGGCCCUCCAAUUAUUGCUGGAUUACAAGUCCCAUAAUCCUGAUCGUUGGCUGUGCUGGCUGAGACUGAAGGGACUUGCACUUCGACAACAUCUGGAGGACCAAAGGUUCCCCACUCAUGGCCUAAGCAGACAUUUUUACAAUAAUAUGUCAAACCGGUGGUGGUGGGGAACCUACUGAGUUACUUUUAAACACAAAGCACAAACGGUUCCAGGCUUAACACCGUAUUGGGUACCUUAAACUUUCAGAUUCUUUAGAACACCCGAAGCCACUGCCACAAAUUCUGGUGCUUUUCAGUCACCAUGAGGAAGACUGACUGCAGUAAGAAGAUAUGGUAUUGGCAGUUGGGGGUGUCUUGGCCUCAGCAGAGAGCAGCCUUUCUCUGAAAACACCUGUCUACCUGGUCUGAUCCAGGAGCAGAACUGCUCACAGGUGUCCAGGCUGACAGAGCUGCUCCUGCCAUACAUUAAUUCCCCCCCCCCCCGACAGCUGACUGUUACCAUCACAUGUUGGAAAUCUAUCUAGAUCAGCGUUCUGACUAUUGCAGAAAUACAGAAAAGACAAAUACCUAUCAGGAUUCCCUACCGAGGAAAGCCCCGUGAAGCUGAACUGUUACUUACCUGUCAGAAGGAAUUAACUUUGAACCUUUUGUCAGAGCCUUCCUGUAAUUAAAAUGCUGGGAACGUUUGUGUUGGCUGUCCCCUGCAAGGAAGGGAGUUAAAAGGUCAGCAAAUCCCAUAGGCUUAUAUUAAAACAGGUUUCCUCUCACAGUUCACUGCCUGCCUGAUGGGGAUCAGCUGGUGAAAUAGCCUCACCAACCUGUGCACUUUCACUCUCCUCUCAUUGAUGCCUUGGAAUCUCUACCUGCUAAAUCCGUUCUCCCGCAGUUUUAACAGCUAGGAUUUCCCCAGCCCCUGCCACUGUGAAUCAAUGCUUCCUAGCACAGUAAGGAGCCAUUAGCCACCCCUCAUUUGGCACCAGGCCCCCCACUAAUCCAGUUUUGGAUUAUGGGGAUCUUGUGUUUUCGGGCAGGUAAAGCACAUAAUCUGGAGUUUCGUGGGUCCUGAAAAUACCCAGCAAAUCACUUGUGGGAGUUUCCCCCACCCUCUGAUCUCAGGUAUUUUCUCCAGCACCUGCCUCUUUGACACUGAGUAGCAGCCAGGUAAUUUCAGCCUUUGAUGAGAUAGAAUGCUUCCACAAAAGCAGUUUGCUUCCCUGUCCAACAGAACCUUGCACUGUGUUGUGAGUCUGCUCAAAGGGACACCAGAGCAUCCACCUUAUGAAACUCUUCAGUGCCGAUGACCCUGAUCUUAAAUUUCAGAUACUUUGGCCAUCCUGCUUGCCUGGCUGUUUGGGUCUGGGCACUGUAAUUUUCCAAAGAAGCCAAGGAACAGCCUUCUAGCUCUGUAGCUUUUCUGGCAUCAAAUGCAAUUCUAAACAAAGGCUUGCCUCUUUCAGCUUCCUGAUGGCAUCUCCAUUGCUGCAUAUCACAACCCUUGUUUGUCUGAGAUUUGUCCCGGAGAUUAGGGCUUUUGGCUUGCUCCAUCUCUGUCUUGACUGCCACCUGCUUCCUCGGGGAGUUUCACAUUAAGCAGAGCAAGAUUUAAACUGCAUUGAGUUGAUGCACAGAGAUGACUGUCCCCAAAGUUUAAAACUGUAGCCACAGUAUCAGCGCUAGCCCACCCCACUAUGUUAACAACGUUGUGAUUUAGUAAGUACAGUGGUAACUCGGGUUACAUACGCUUCAGGUUACACACUCCGCUAACCCAGAAAUAGUGCUUCAGGUUAAGAACUUUGCUUCAGGAUAAGAACAGAAAUCGGGUUCCAGCGGCGCGGUGGCAGCAGCAGGCCCUAUUAGCUAAAGCGGUGCUUCAGGUUAAGAACAGUUUCAGGUUAAGAACGGACCUCCGGACCGAAUUAAGUACUUAACCCGAGGUACCACUGUAAGCCUGAAUAGUUAGGAUUGCCUUCUCCUGUCUCCAGCCAAAUAAGAUGGCUCCUGGCUAUGGGUUAGAUUGGGUAUUUGUGAUCAGAGUUGGUAAAGGACUGCUUUUAGCCAUCCGUGUUCCUCACAAUCUUCUGUUUUUCAUUUAAAAUUAGGAAAUAAUUGACAGCUCUCCCGUUUUGCUGUUCUCAUGCUGCUUUUCAGAUCACUCUAGAGAGUCUUCUUUUCCUACUAUUUAACAUCUCUUUAAGUGCUAACAAUGUGUUCUAUGUGCUGUGCAUGAAAAUUCUGUUUAAGUCUGGAUGUGAGAUGCUUGUGUGGUCUGUCAAAGCAUUCUGAUUAUACAUCCUCUUCAUCCCCCGACAACCUUCCCCCAAAGGAUGGAUAAUUCACUCCAGUGCUACCUUGCCACUUGAUCCAUCCAUGCCUCAAGAGUUUUGAAGUAUUUCAGCUUGGCUGUGUACUGCAACAUCACCCUAGACUAUUGUAAACACGGAUUGCAUCAUUUAAAAUGCCUCUGGGAAUGGACUUUGCCCCAUUUCCUUUUCAGAUAUGCAUGCCGCGUUGGUGCAUUUUGCACUCUGAUAAAUUAAGUGGUCGCUUGGCGGUCUUGGCUUAAAAAUGGGCAAAGCGCCCAUUUGAAGGUAACUGGAGACGGCAAACAUAUUGUCCCAGAUGCCUGGGUGCUGAAUUCUGCUCAUCAGCAGUUUUGUUGUUCAAAAAUUAAUCUGUGAAACAUAACUAGUUCCAGGCAUGUGGGUUUGUGUGGUGUGUGCUCAUUGGAGAAGAAUCCUGGAGAUGCACACAAAGCCAAAUGACAAAAAGUCCACAGAGAUUCUGACUUCCUAGUAGCAGUGGGCAUUUUGGCAUGCGAAACCUCUUAAAAUGGCACGGGCCCAGACUAUCUGAAUGACCGCUUCCUUCUGUAUGAGCUUUCUCACUCACGUCUUAUCUGAAGGCGUUUUUCAGGGUUCCUCUCCUUGUAUUGAAGAAGGUGUGGUUUGGAGUUGGGACCUUCUCUGCUGUUGCACCCCUCCUCUAGAAUUCCGUUCCUCAAAGAGUUUCCUUGGCGCUUUCAUUGUUGGCUUCUAGGCACAAGGUAAACUUUUACACACUGUUGGGAAUUUCAAAUUCAGUCUCUGCAGAGGACUGAGCAAUGGUUCCUGCAAACCCUAUUUUGGCAUGGAUCUUCGUUUGUAGCCCAGCUUGUGCCCAGCUGCAAAGGGGGGGGGGGAGAAUCAGAAGCAUACGGCCUAUUCUUUCCUUUGGGUCAUUUGGAAUGGGAAUGUCAGGUGAUUGACAGGUGGGCAGUUCCACCCACAUGCAGUGUUAGAAACUGAGAUAUGAAAGCUAGGAGCUAAAUGGUGCCUUAAACCUACCGGUAGGUUAUGGGCGCAACAAAGGAAUGUCUAGGCACACUUUUUUUAUAACACGAAUGCAAAGCUGAAAAUGAAUGAACUGCAGCUAAAAUAUUAUGUCCAUUUUUCAUAUGGUCUAGUCCUCCCCCUGCCCACCCCCCUAAUAUUCUUAAGAGGGUCUCUUCUCCACUCUUCAGAGAGUAGCUGGAAGUGGGGAAGCAGAAAAAGGUCCUCCUUGGGUGGCCACUAGGGGCGCAUUGGGAGAUGGCUGACAAUAACAUCUCUCCGACCCACACGAGGUAAUUAAGAGGCUGUGAUGGGAGUAAACAGCCUCCCGGCCCCCCCAAGCGUGUGGGGGGGGGACUGCCCUUGCCUGCUGUGCCCUAUACCACCCCCGAGUUUGUGGGGGUGGGGGCACUAGGCAGAAAGCCCUUGUGCGGAUUUCGGCGCUUCUGGACGCUGUCUCUGAUUCGCGCCCCUAGCUGCAGUAAUUUCAAAAGAAACAAUUAGGAGGAAGCUAAAUGCACAUAUUUCAAGGAAGAAGGGGGAGUAAAGACUGCUAACUGAAGAGAUCUCUGAUAAACAAGACUGGUCGGAGGAUUAAGAAUAAAUGAUGAGAAGACACACUAAGGCUUGGUAUGUUCGGCAACGGGACUGGAUGGGGGAGGGGGAAAAACUUUCCUUUCUUUUCUCUAUGUGAUUAACCAAGAAUCCCCCCCCCACAAGUCACAAGUCAGAAAUGGCGUUUAAAUGACUUAAGCUGUGGAUUUUAGACUGUGUGGAGAUAAUUUUCUAACCAAAGCAUGUUUCAAGAAGAUCGUGGAAAGCAUAAGAGCUUUGGAAUGACACAGCAAAAAAUAUCGUCACCAUCUUGGCAAGUUAUGUCGAAAGAUUUAUGUCUGGGAGGAGGAAAGAUCUGUUUACAUAUUGUGGGAGAGCCUCCUCAGAGGGACUAAAGUGCGACAGACUUGCCAGAUUAAUGAUGGAAAGAGUGCUGUUAUUUAUGAAAGUGAUGAUAUAUGGAAACCAUCUUGAUAUGAUGACUGGACGAAUGGAAAAAUUCACACAGGAUUAUAAUUGGUGUUUACCUGCUUAAGGAGAUCAUCAGAAGAGAUCAUAAAUAAAAAAAGAAAAAUAUACGAACAAGAUGAGAUGUGGAAACAGCAAGAUAAGACUGGGUAGUAUUAUGAAUUUUAUUUGGACAGAUUUGUGGAUAUUAACGCAGCAGCAAGAUGAGGAUCGGAAUCCCCCUUCGGAACUUGAAAUAUGGGUCACCCCAACAAAAAUUUAAAAUUCGGCUUUGUAAUUCGGAAUUUAUGUGAUGUGAUUUGAUUUGAUUUGAUUGGUCGGUUAAUAAAAAUUAUUUU